AUCCAGGAAUCCUAUGCUCAAAACAACAUCGAAUUAGAGCUAAAAAAACGGAGGAAAUAAAUCGGAUGCCCCCAUUCUCCUCGUAGCGACAUAGCACGGAUUGGUUAGCUUGAAUCAAGGGAGAGGAGAAGCGGACUCUUUCACUUUGCGGUUAUUUAAACCGAAGCGGGAUUAGGUAACUAAUUCGGCGCGGUGGGUCGCCGAGGAAUUGAAAUACUCGGGAGCAAAAGAUCGGGCGCGUCCGCAUACGGUAAAUUUGUCUUAUUUGGUGGACGUUGGGUGUGGGACUGUUUCCACUGAAAUAUUUCGCUGCACCAGGUGUACAUUAUUCAUCCAAUACACCAUGACGCUCGACACUAUUCUACCGUCUUAGGUCGUAAUUGCUGAUGCCGCAAUCAAUGCGUUCAGAAGAAAUUACGAUCUGUAACAGCAGGUCUGCAGUUACCAGAUUCGGCCAUUCACCCUGCAAGAACUACCAUUUCUGACAACCAAUAACAUGCUGAUCAAAAUUCACAUAGUAUAUAUACAGCAUAUUAGGUAGGAUUAAUUAAUUCAAAGCUUUAUGCACCAAAAUCUUGGGUUUAGCUACAUU